UACGUAGGGUGCUAGCGUUGUUCGGAAUCACUGGGCGUAAAGCGCACGUAGGCGGAUGUGUCAGUCAGGGGUGAAAUCCCGGAGCUCAACUCCGGAACUGCCUCUGAUACAGCACGUCUUGAGUCCGAUAGAGGUGGGUGGAAUUCCUAGUGUAGAGGUGAAAUUCGUAGAUAUUAGGAAGAACACCGGUGGCGAAGGCGGCCCACUGGAUCGGUACUGACGCUGAGGCACGAAAGCUAGGGGAGCAAACGGG
rnacentral:rRNA from 1 species